rnacentral:lncRNA from 1 species
CAUUGUCAUUUUUUGGAAAGGUGAAUCAAGAAAACCCGGUCAAUCCACAAAGAGACGGAUCAGGGUCUAGAGGCAGGAACACGCUGGUGCCAAGGAUCACACUGACUAUCCAGACGGUGGUUUCUAAAUUUCAUCCUCCACUUGAGUCUGGUCAUAGGAAAACAUGAGGCAGGCCAAAAUGAAGAGUCAUACCAUAAAAUGGAAGACCUCUAUGCU